UACAGAGGGUGCAAGCGUUGUUCGGAAUUAUUGGGCGUAAAGGGCGCGUAGGCGGUGCGGUAAGUCUGCGGGGAAAUCUCCCGGCUCAACUGGGAGGCUGCCGUGGAAACUGCCGCGCUUGAGUGUGGGAGAGGUGAGUGGAAUUCCCGGUGUAGCGGUGAAAUGCGUAGAUAUCAAGCGGAACACCGGUGGCGAAGGCGGCCGACUGGGCCGACCCUGAUGCUGAGGCGCGAAGGCGUGGGGAGCGAACGGG
rnacentral:rRNA from 1 species